GAAGUGAUUACAUUCAUGGAGGCAAGUGAAAACUUUUGUUUGUAAUUGAUAGUAGUUGGUUUUUGCUUUUCUUCCUUCGGAUUGUAUUUCCCUGAUGGUGCUGUUUGUGGCUUCUAGUGCUAUUGUCCUUUCUAGAAUUAAUUGGUAAUUCACAUUAUUGGUAAUUGAUGGGCUGCAAGUUGCACAAUGUAUGUGUGUAUUCCUGCACCAUAUUAGUGGUUUGAUACUUCUCUGUGCAAGAAUGGUUUAUAGGUUCAAGGCUUAUGUAAAAGUUUAUGAGUGCACUUUGUGUUGAGAGUGUCUCCAUUCAUAUUGCUUCUUGGUCUCAGUUUGCAUCACUUCAUACUAGAUGGUCUUUGAUUUUUUUGUGAAACAUUUAAAGCUCUCAAAUCAUUUAUUGUUGCCACACUACAGAGGAG
rnacentral:lncRNA from 1 species